rnacentral:lncRNA from 1 species
AUUCUCCUGCCUCAGUCUCCCGAGUAGCUGGGAUUACAGGUGAGCGCCACCACAACCAGCUAAUUUUUUGUAUCUUUAGCACCCAGCCUGGUCACCUAGGUAUUAAGCCCUGCAUGCAUUAGCUAUUCAUCCUGAUGCUCUCCCUCCCCUCACCCACCCAGACACGCCCCAGGCACACUAUUAUCUUAUAUGCAGUGACAUUUGAGUUUUGCAAUAUCUUCAUUUCUUGGCUCUCAAUAAAUUUCUUUUGUUUAUAAAUUACCCAGUCUAAGAUAUUUUGUUAUAGCAGCCCACACUGACUAAGACAGGCCCCUUUCCCUUCCCACACCCCAUGGGCCUGGAAUACUUCCAAGCUAGCUUCUGAUUCCCGUCUCUACUAAAAAUACAAAAAUUAGCCAGGCAUGGUGGCAUGCGCCUGUAAUCCCAGCUAC